AAUGGCAAUGGCAACGGCAACGGUAAAGACAACGGUAACGGCAAUGGCAACGGUAACGGCAAAGGCAACGGUAAAGACAACGGCAAUGGCAACGGAAAUGGCAACGGCAACGGCAAUGGCAACGGCAACGGUUACGACAACGGUAACGGGAAUGGUAACGGGAAUGGCAACGGUAAAGACAACGGUAACGGCAAUGGCAAUGGCAACGGCAACGGUUACGACAACGGUAACGGCAAUGGGAACGGUAAAGACAACGGUAACGGCAAUGGCAAUGGCAAUGGUAACGGCAAUGGCAAUGGCAACGGUAACGGCAACGGCAACGGUUACGACAACGGUAACGGCAAUGGCAACGGUAAAGACAACGGUAACGGCAAUGGCAACGGUUACGACAACGGUAACGGCAAUGGUAAUGGGAAUGGCAAUGACAACGGUAACGGCAAUGGCAACGGCAACGGUAACGGUAACGGCAAUGGCAAUGGCGGCGGGUAACUGAGGUCGAACAGAUGCUCUUCCAGCGCAUCUGUCUAAAUGUGAAGCAGUUUCCCAGCGAGCGUAAUCAUGAAUUAAUGUCCUGCAAUCUUGAAUAAAUACUUUUCCCUAUCUUUCAA